rnacentral:rRNA from 1 species
UAGGGAAUCUUCGGCAAUGGGGGGAACCCUGACCGAGCAACGCCGCGUGAGUGAAGAAGGUUUUCGGAUCGUAAAACUCUGUUGUUAGAGAAGAACAGCGCAUAGAGUAACUGUUAUGCGUGUGACGGUAUCUAACCAGAAAGCCACGGCUAACUACGUGCCAGCAGCCGCGGUAAUACGUAGGUGGCAAGCGUUGUCCGGAUUUAUUGGGCGUAAAGCGAGCGCAGGCGGUCAAUUAAGUCUGAUGUGAAAGCCCCCGGCUCAACCGGGGAGGGUCAUUGGAAACUGGUUGACUUGAGUGCAGAAGAGGAGAGUGGAAUUCCAUGUGUAGCGGUGAAAUGCGUAGAUAUAUGGAGGAACACCGGUGGCGAAAGCGGCUCUCUGGUCUGUAACUGACGCUGAGGCUCGAAAGCGUGGGGAGCGAACAGG